AUUAUGAGGCAGUAGAUGAGCCGAGGGGGAGCUGGAGAGCCCGCCAGCAGGAGGCCCCCGGGGCUGCUGCAGGGAACCCCAGUGAGGUAGUCUUGAGCUGGGGUGCAGGCGGGGGCACGGCCGGAGGGCACCAGGUCUCAGGAUCUGGCGGCUUGGCUAGACUCGAAGAACUAUUAAAAUUGUUGCCACUGUUUCAGGAAUUUGGGACAUUAUUUUAAUAUGAAAAUAUGAUGCUGUUUUGAAACGUGAGGCAGCAUAGUGUGGUGGCGAAAGUUGGAUUCCAGAGCCAGACCUUCCCAGCUUCCACCUGGACCAGCUGCUGAACCUCUCUGUGCCCCCGAAACGCUGCUUGUCUAUGAAAUGGGGAAACUGUCUCUUAGGACUGUCCUGAGAAUUAAAUGAGCUAAUGUUCAUAAAGUGCUUAGAACACUGCUUGGCACUCAGUGAGUACUAGUUAAGUGUUUGUUAAAUAAACAUAAAUAAAUGACUCUUCGUAGGGUUAGGAUACAGAUGUCUUUUUUUUUUUCCUACUAAACAAAUGGUGCUGGAGGGCUUCUGUUAAGGGAAGGUGUUGGUCUCUAAGCAUCAUGGAUUAGGAGAUCCAGCUGGAUUAGGAUAGGGCUUUGUGGUCUCCAUUUUGGAUUUAGGGCCUGGAAAUCCUUAGGAGACAGAGUCUGGUUUCUAGGGCCUACAGCCCUAACACCCGAACCUGGGGGAAUUCUUUUUUUUUUUUAAGAUUUUAUUUAUUUAUUCAUGAUAGACAUAGAGAAAGAGAGAGAGAGAGAGAGAGAGGCAGAAACACAGGCAGAGGGAGAAGCAGGCUCCAUGCAGGGAGCCUGACGUGGGACUCGAUCCCGGGACUCCAGGAUCACGCCCUGGGCUGAAGGCGACGCUAAAGCGCUGAGCCACCCGGCCUGCCCACCUGUGGGAAUUCUUAAUAUUCUGGAUUUUCUUCUCUCCACAGCUCCUCAGUCCCCGGAGCAAGCUCUUUUUUCUGGCUGACCUGGAUUUUAUGGCAAACACACCUACCUGGAGAAAGUGUGCAGCCCUCCCUGUUGAGACACAAGUUAUUCCUGAACCCAAGAAACCAUGAAGCUCACAGUUCAUCAUGUCAGUUUCCAAUAUCAACUGAUGUAACUGGUGAUGUUGGUAGUGAUUUAACUGGUGUCUGCACCAACACAGGGACGGACACUUGGACACUCAGAAUUUCCUAA
rnacentral:lncRNA from 12 species